rnacentral:rRNA from 1 species
CUUCCCAUCCCGAACAGAGAAGUUAAGCCCUGCAGCGCCGAUGGUACUGGGGUCACACCCGGGAGAGUAGGUCGCCGCCACAU